rnacentral:rRNA from 1 species
GACGAACGCUGGCGGCGUGCCUAAUACAUGCAAGUAGAACGCACAGUUUAUACCGUAGCUUGCUACACCAUAAACUGUGAGUUGCGAACGGGUGAGUAACGCGUAGGUAACCUGCCUGGUAGCGGGGGAUAACUAUUGGACACGAUAGCUAAUACCGCAUAAUAUUGAUUAUUGCAUGAUAAUUGAUUGAAAGAUGCUAUUGCAUCACUACCAGAUGGACCUGCGUUGUAUUAGCUAGUAGGUGAGGUAACGGCUCACCUAGGCGACGAUACAUAGCCGACCUGAGAGGGUGAUCGGCCACACUGGGACUGAGACACGGCCCAGACUCCUACGGGAGGCAGCAGUAGGGAAUCUUCGGCAAUGGACGAAAGUCUGACCGAGCAACGCCGCGUGAGUGAAGAAGGUUUUCGGAUCGUAAAGCUCUGUUGUAAGAGAAGAACGGGUGUGAGAGUGGAAAGUUCACACUGUGACGGUAUCUUACCAGAAAGGGACGGCUAACUACGU